UACGUAGGGUGCAAGCGUUGUCCGGAAUUAUUGGGCGUAAAGAGCUCGUAGGCGGCUUGUCACGUCGGUUGUGAAAGCCCGGGGCUUAACCCCGGGUCUGCAGUCGAUACGGGCAGGCUAGAGUGUGGUAGGGGAGAUCGGAAUUCCUGGUGUAGCGGUGAAAUGCGCAGAUAUCAGGAGGAACACCGGUGGCGAAGGCGGCAUCCUGGACCAAUUCUGACGCUGAGGAGCGAAAGCCAGGGGAGCAAACGGG
rnacentral:rRNA from 1 species